rnacentral:misc_RNA from 1 species
UAUCCGUAGGUGAACCUGCGGAAGGAUCAUUAAAGAUAGAUAAUAGAAGUCCUUGGGUAAGAGGGGGAAACCUCUCUUUCCAAGCUUCUAAACUCUAUAUUACCCCCCCUUCAUAAUGUGAACUUUGACGCGAGCAACAAAAGUAAAUGCCCCUAUUUACAAUAGGGGUUGUUGAAAAGCUUGUGAUCUUUUUUUAUCCUAUACACACAACACAGUCUAAUAGAAUGUAAUGAUAAUAACUAUUGAAAUAUAAAUAUAACUUUCAGCAACGGAUCUCUUGGCUCUC